GAAAUACUCCCUCCAUUCCAAAAUAGAUGACUCAAUUUUGUAUAAAGUUAGUACAAAAUUGAGUCAUCUAUUUUGGAAUGGAGGGAGUAGAAU
rfam:Triticum aestivum genome assembly, contig: Triticum_aestivum_CS42_TGACv1_scaffold_377111_5AL